GACUAUGUUUGUAUUCGGGAUACGGGAUGUUUAUCCCCGGUAUAUCCUGGAAUAGCUGCCAAACUCCUCCAGUGGUCGGCCGGAUAACUUUAACCCACUAAUCCGGUCGAAACCGCAUCUGACGGAGUUAAUAUGGAUAAACUGUCAUCAUAGGGUCCCUGGGGUUGGUCUGAAACCCGGUAUAAACCGGACUAAUGGGUUUGUUUUAUCCCUGAAUUAAUGACCAAUGCCGCCCUCGGUCGCUUCCUCCUCCUUUUCGCCGGUGCUCGCUUCUUUCCCUCUCUCUCUCUGCUCACCCUCUGCCAUGGCCAUCUCCUCCGAUCUGUCGCUGAUCCUAAUCGAUUGCGUUCCUUUACUUCGUCAUUAACUUCGUCUCAUCUUCUUCCGAUACUUAAGGCGGAGCUCGCUCGCUCUCGUUCCCCCUCUCCUCGUGGGGUCUUUCCUAGGGUUGUGGGCGGUCCACGGCGACGGGGGAGGUUCCGGGAGGGAAGAGUUCUUUAAUUGCCCGGGAGGGAAGGACUUGGCUCUAAGAGAAAUCGGGAAGAAAAUGUACAAGGACGCUGAAGGUCCGUCUUUAUUUGAUUUGUUUGAGCAUGCAGAUAUUGUUAUUAUGAGUUUAGUGCUAUAAUUUUGCAUGUCCAUUGUGUUUGGAAAAUUUUUGAGAGCUGCUUACUGCCUGAUAUGUCACUGCUUUACCCUGACGUAUAAUUUUUAAGAUACCUUUUUUUUUCAAAAAAAA